rnacentral:rRNA from 1 species
GACGAACGCUGGCGGCGUGCUUAACACAUGCAAGUCGAGCGGUAAGGCCCUUUCGGGGGUACACGAGCGGCGAACGGGUGAGUAACACGUGGGUGACCUGCCCUCAGCUCUGGGAUAAGCCUGGGAAACCGGGUCUAAUACUGGAUAUGACUCCAUGACGCAUGUUGUGUGGUGGAAAGCCUUGUGCGGCUGAGGAUGGGCCCGCGGCCUAUCAGCUUGUUGGUGGGGUUAGGCCUACCAAGGCGACGACGGGUAGCCGGCCUGAGAGGGCGACCGGCCACACUGGGACUGAGACACGGCCCAGACUCCUACGGGAGGCAGCAGUGGGGAAUCUUGCGCAAUGGGCGAAAGCCUGACGCAGCGACGCCGCGUGAGGGAUGACGGCCUGG